rnacentral:misc_RNA from 1 species
CUUCCUCCCAUACCCGGAUCCAUAUCCCUCCCCCUCCUCAUCCCGUUUCGGCCGGCCGCCAUACCCAGCGCCACCCCCGUACUCAGCGCCGCCUCCGUACUCCGGCUUCGGCUGCGGGCGCCUGCCGUACUCCACGGCGGGUGCCUCCUGCUUCGGGUGGAAGCCGUACGCCGGCUGCGGCCCAGCCUGGUGACGGCCGUAGCGAUCGGCGUCUGCGGUGUCCGGAUCGUAGGCGGAGGGCUUGGAUCCGGAUGAGUAGUUGGGGCGAUUGUAGUCGACGGAGCCGGCGGAGGAGAGCGGGUAGCAGAUCUCGUCGGAGGGCGGGAGGGGGCGGCCGAAGGUGAGGGCGAGGUCGUAGCCGCCGCCAUAGGGGGUGGGGUCGUAGUCGUCGAAGUCGUCGACGUCCUCGUCGUCUCUGCCGACGUGGUAGUAAGACAUGGUCGGAG